UUUCAACUCAAAUGCACAAUCAACUUGCUUGUCAGCACAUUCAUCGGAAGAAGACAAAAUUUUGGGCUAAUCAAGAUCAAGAAAUCGAGCAUGUUACUUCAUCAUUUAUCAUGAUGUUGCAAACAUGAGCUUGUGCAGACCUAUGAGAUAAAUUAUCCUCCAUUGUUCUUCUUGGUUGUGAAUAAAAAUAACAUAUACAAUUGUAAGAGACAAGACAUUGAAUCCUUUCUAUUAAAGACUUCAUACUUUUA